CGCAGGCAUGCCCUCCAACCAUCAAGGACAUCAGGGGCGCCACAGUAAAGGACACGGCAGGCCCUUACGCUGAGGGCGACACAGUGCGGCUGACCUGCGAAAUAGAAAGGUGCGACCAUGACGUGGCGCUCACGUGGUUCCACAACGGCACGCAACUGAGGUCGGCGCGCGGAACAGUGGCGACCUCCGACGGCGGCUGGAAGAACCUCGUCACUCUCGGUCCAUUAACUCGUCGUGAUCUGCACUCUAACGUAACCUGUCUGACGAUAAGCAACGUCUCGCUGCCGGGAGUCGCUACAGUGCUCCUCGACUUAUACCUGGCUCCAACGGCUGUAACCAUCUGGAGCUGGCCUGCUCAACAGACUGACACGCCUCCAGGCUCGGUGGAAUCGUCCAGUGCAGCUACUCAACAUUCGCUACGAAACAGGUCCGCCACCAUUGCUACGACGCUUGGCCCG
rnacentral:lncRNA from 1 species